AACACCCGAAGUCGGUGAGGUAACCUUUUGGAGCCAGCCGCCGAAGGUGGGACAGAUGAUUGGGGUGAAGUCGUAACAAGGUAGCCGUAUCGGAAGGUGCGGCUGGAUCACCUCCUUU
rnacentral:rRNA from 1 species